GCGCAUGCAGGCGGAGCGGAGGAGCCCCUGUGGGAGGGGGGCAACCAGGAUGGGGGCUCUGUGAGCGUGAACUAGAGAACCCAGAAAGACACACAGUCCCUGGGAACCUGGAAGCUACCGUGUUCCUGCUGCACCCUUACGUGUGUACUCUGCAAGCCUUUUGGCCAGACAAGUCACAUGGCCCUGAGGCGGGUGCUGGAAAACGUGGAGGAGGGGUGGCUUUGGUCGCUGGACACACAUCUCUGCCACGGUGACUGACGGAGGCUGUGAAAGGACAAUCUGAGUGAAGAAGUGAAUGAGGUGCUGAUUCCACAGGGACUUCCUGAGAAGGGCGGAGUGGCUCCCAGCGGACGGGAAUUAGAGACCGCCUGAGAACAGGAAACCUACCUCCUCUAUUUCUGGGUUCCCAGUGUCCUGCCCAGAGCCCAUCAUGUGGCAGAAGCUCAGGACACAAAUGUCAGGGGCAGAAGACUAAGUCCUUGCUCUGGGCAGGGGUCAGGACGUGUGCAGCUCCUUGGCCCCAGAAUUGUUUCCCUCCUGCCUCACUCCCUGGUGUAGAAUUUGGCCCAGACGCUCCCUGCCAUGUGACUUGGCAGGAGCUCCCUCUAGAGGAGGGGUAGUGAUAUAGCUGUAAAUCUCACGUUGAGGCUGGGCGCGUUGGCUCAAGCCUGUAAUCCCAGCACUUUGGGAGGCUGAGGCAGGCGGAUCACCUGAAGCCAGGAGUUCGAGACCAGCCUGCCCAACAUGGUGAAACCCUGUCUGUACUAAAAAUAUUAAAAAAAUUAGCUGGGCAUGGUGGUGCAUGCCUGUAAUCCCAGCUACUUGGGAGGCUGAGGCAGGAGAAUCGCUUGAACCCAGGAAGCAGAGGUUGCAGUGAGCUGAGAUCGUGCCACUGCACUCCAGCCUGGGCAACAGAGCGAGACUCCAUUAAAAAAAAAAAAAAACCUCAUGUUGAAAUGUGAUCCCCAAUGCUGGCGGUGGGGCCUGGUGGGAGGUGUUUGGAUCAUGGGGUGGAUUUCUCAUGAAUGGUUUAGCACCAUCCUCUUGGUGCCGUUCUUGAGACAGUGAGUGAACUCUCUCGAGAUCUUGUUUAAAAGAGUGUGGCACCUCCCUCCAUGUCUCUUGCUCCCACUCUUGCCAUGUGAGAUGCCUGCUCCCCCUUCACUUCAGUCACAAUUGUAAACUUCCUGAGGCCUUCACCAGAAGCUAAUGCUGGCACUAUGCUUCUUGUACAGCUUAGAGAACCAUGAGCCAAUUAAACUUCUUUUCUUUAUAAA